UGAAGGAUGAUUUUAUCAGAUAUGCACACACACUGCAAGUAUGUGUCUGUGCAUAUACACAUUUAUAUGUGUGUGUGUACGUGUGUGAGGGUUUGUGUGUGUGUGUGUGUGCGUUGGGGGGGGCGGUACAGUGUGAGUGUGUGUGUGUGUGUGUGUGUGUGUGUGUCACCUAGCCAUGUUGCUUGUUGCCUGUGCCUGUGAAGGAUCAGUGUUGAGCUCCAGAGCAGUGGAGCCUUCAGCCUUCAGCUCCACUCAAUGGGGCACAAAAUGGCUGACGGGGAGAGUUCACGGCCAGACUGCUCUCCUGAAAGAGAGAAAACACUACCUGAUGACCGCAAGACAUAUUGAUUCAAGGAUUUCUUUCUCUCUCUCUCUCUUUCUCUCCCCCUUUCUCUGUCUAUUUUUUUUACUGUCUGUCUCCUCUCUCUCUUUCUCUCCCUCUCUCUCGCUGUCCCUCGCUUUCUCUCUUCCAAUCUCUCUCUCUCACUCUCUCCUUCUCUCUGCCCUUUUUUGCGGUUUCCUUCAGCGGGAUGUAUUUUUACUUUGCCGUUGUCCUUUCAGCUGGAGAGCGACGGCAUUGAAAAGUGGGAGGGUGAUGAAAAGAUGGAAGGACAAAGAGUGAGAGGGAGCGAGAGAGGGAUAGAGAGAGAGAGAGAGAGGGAUAGAGAGAGAGAGAGAAAGAGAGAGAGAGUGAGAGAGGGGCAGAGGGUGACAGACUGAAAAGGCUGCUUGACACAGAUGGAGAAAUCAGAAAAAGGCAAAAGAAGUGAGCGAGAGAGAGAGAGGGGGAAGGCAAAAGAAAUAUAAAAAGGGGUGGAUAGAGGCGCAAGUGGGAGGCUGAAGGAAGAGAAGUGCCCUGAAAUGGAUGGAGCGAAAGGGUGAAAAAAAGGAGGAGGGGGUGCAGGAUAGAGGGAGGGGGGUGGGGGGUGAGAGAGGUAAAGUGCCGUGGUGCAAAUGGGGUUCGUCUCCCUUCGUUGCACCCCCACCUCCUCUCCCGCUGCCCCCCUCCCUCGUUAUCUCCAUUAGCACCUGCUGGGCUAACGAGACUGGCACUGGGUUACCACGGUAACGUCUUGUCAUCCCACGCCGCACCCCCCAGCCUAACUCCCCCAAACCUAAUCACACACAAACCUCACCGGCUCUCAACCCCAGGUAAUGAAACACAGAGGUGAAGAAAGAGAAGUGGGGGGGCCCAAACACACA
ensembl:lncRNA